AUUGAACGCUGGCGGCAUGCCUUACACAUGCAAGUCGAACGGUAACAGGUUCAGCUGACGCGCGGCGAACGGGUGCGUAAUAUAUCGGAACGUGCCCAGUCGUGGGGGAUAACGUAGAGAAAGCUACGCUAAUACCGCUUCCGAACUACGGAGACAAGCGGGGGAACGCAAGAUCUCGCGCGCUUGGAGCGGCCGAUAUGAGAUUUACUAGUUAGUGAGGUAAAGGCUGACCAAGGCGACGAUCUGUAGCUGGUCUGGGAGGACGACCAGCCACACGGUAUCUGAGACACUGUCCAGACUCCUACGGGAGGCAGCAGUGGGGAAUAUUGGACAAUGGGCGCAAGCCUGAUCCAGCAAUGCCGCGUGCAGGAUGAAGGCCUUCGGGUUGUAAACUGCUUUUGUACGGAACGAAACGGUGAGCUCUAAUACAGUUUGCUAAUGACGGUACCGUAAGAAUAAGCACCGGCUAACUACGUGCCAGCCGCCGCCGUAA
rnacentral:rRNA from 1 species